CGUUCAUGUAUUAAAUAAAAUAGUUUUAUACGCUACACGGCCUAACAUGAAUCCCCCUAAUCGUGACACUACAGAGCUAUGGGGAUUCCUAUGGGGAUUUUUCCUCUUUUAUUCUUGACAACGUCAGAUGUCAAGAAAAUCUAUCUUUAUUUGAGUUAAUACGAUUUGAAAAUUUUCAAGAAAGGAAAGUGAGUAUUCGUUAAUUAUUUCGAACUGCAUAUUUUUAGUAUGUAUUUAUUUGUUAUGAUAUUUUAUUUAUUAUUGCGUGAUAAAUAAGAAGAAACCAUUCCUACUAAUUUAGUAUUGCAGUUACGUAUAGAUAAUCUUCAAAAUGAUAAUGGGAUAACAAUUUUGAUGCGAAGCUUUUUUACUUCAUUUUUUAUAUAUCCUUUUAUAUCAAUUUUUAUUUCACGCAUGAUAUCAAAAAGAAUUAUUUAUCGCAGUAUAUAAGUCUGCUGAAAUUUCAUAGGGCAAUUGAAAUAAAGAUACUAGUCUUAUGCCAACAAUAUUUAUUUUUUAUGCAAACAUUUACUUUCAUUAAAAAAUUAUCUUCGCGCGAAACAACUCGUUACAUUUUAAACUGUACCAUUUCUGAUCUCAUAAAAAAAUAGCUCCCAUUUAUCUUGAUCCCUCUCCAGUCAAAGACUGGAUAAGAAAGCAGCUAUUCUGUAUUUUUAAAUCGCUCGGUAUACUUACACGUAAAUAUAUUUAAACAUUCUUUCAAGGAUUCAUUAGCAUAAGUAAAAUACGGUUGAUCAUUACAAACGAAUACACGUAUAAAAUUUCUGUUACAUGCAUGUAUUCUUACUAAGAAGAGAUUUUCCUGAUUUCAAGGAUAAGGAAGGGAAUACAGAAGAAACAUUCCAAAAGGGUAUUGUUGACUCGUAUCUUUUCAUUUAAGCAGAAAUUCAAAGAAAAGAUGUUUUCGUUCUCUUUCAAAAUGUCUUACUGUCGAAUAUUAUGGAUGAUGUACAACCUGUAAUAUAGUCUCACUAAUGCUGCUAUUUCAUAGGACUGCUAUACGUAACUAUAGUAUAGUUUAAUUUAUGCGUUCAUCUUCGAGAAAGCAUACCUCUAAACGUUAUAACAAUCGGCUUCGUUACAGGUGACUCUCUUAAAUAUAUAAUGUACAUAGUUAUAGAAGAACAUAUAACAUAUAUGUAUAUCAUCUAUAUAACUCUACGAUAGUCAACAUUUUAUUGCAUCGCGAUGGUUUACAAUUUCUCGUACACGAAUGUCGUCGUUGAAUCCGAAAGAGUGUCGCGGACGGAAAUCUUACGUUCUUUUACUAUAUAUUUAUGUUAUCACUGCUAUUUUACUGAUUAAGUUAUAUACGUAUAGUGUACCUAAGUACAUAGCUAUACUGUGUACAAAUAUAAUUACGGCAAUAUACAGACACCAUCUAAAAGUUUGAGAUCACGUAUCAUCAUAAAAUUAUAC